UUUUUGUAAGUUAUCAUUAUACAUGGGUCUCUUUGUUUACGAUGGAUAUCUCAAAAACUACUUGUUAAAAAUGUUUGUAUCUUUUCUAGCAUGCAAUCUCUAGACAAUGCAAAUAAUCGCAUCCUUUUCCAAUGAAAUUUGUAAUUUUAAGUCAUGAAGGUCAAUUUCAGUUUUCCACAGACACCAUGUUAAAAUCACCUCUUAAAGUUUUCAACAUCUUCGUAUCAGAAUCGGAGCUUCACUAAAUAGUGAUUGUUUUGACCUCAUCACCAAACUUCCAUUUAUAUGGAAGUAAAAAAUAAGAAAAAUAAUUAAAAACUAAGAAAACCAACAGUAAAACUUAUUCAAACUGUGAACAUCUCUGUAGUGAUUUCUUUGUGACAAACAGUCCAAAUGUAUCGGUUUUCUGUGUGUAAAGCAAAGCCAGGCAACGUGACUUACGUGGAUUGAAGUGAAAACCUCCUACUUUACAAUCCGACAUGUUAGCCUCACGGUCUGCAUGCUUCAAACCGAGCACCUCCACCAAGGACGUCACAGAGCCUCUGAUGGUACGUGAUGUGCAUUCCACUUUAGAAUAUUUUGUAACACUAGCUGGUUCAAAGAAAACAAAGACCCUGACAUUUGCAAAGAAUGAAACAAGGAAUCAAGUUUAUUGUAACGCACAGAGCAGUGAAUGCUGUCUUAUUAUACUUUACAGAUUAAGAACAUUUGCCUAGAAUGUUAAAAGUGAUCAAUCAGUGGAUCUUGCUGUGUACAUAACAUGGCAAAAUGGUGUUAACUUCAAAUUUAAGGGCAACUAAACUGAAACCUUUUGAUAAUAAACAAGAAGUUGACAAAUGAACAUAAUUUGCAAAGGAAAACUGAUAUCACAAGGUGUUUGAGAUAACACUAACACUUGUUUUCAUUUAGGUGUGAAUAAAAGGCUCGCAGUGCCGCCUGGUAAAUAUACUUACUCUGUCAAGAGUGAAGAAAAGUAGAGCGAAUUUAAAAAAAAAACAAAAACAAACUGGCUUAACCACAGCAAUAGCACUUUUUUUUUUUUUCCCUCCUGCAUAAAAUAAAAAUUUGCUUAAGGGGCCUUUCAGAUUUUGGGUUUUGCUUUACACAAGUGUGUUAUGUAAUAUAGAAAACUAAUUUGAUUGAUAUUAAUGGAGACGGUUGAUUUAUAUUUUAAACUCGCAGGCAUUGUGCAAUAUUACAAAGUGCUUUACAGAGCAAACAAAAUUACAAAAAUAGUAUCAAACAUACCAAUGCAUGAUUAGAACGGAAUAAAAACUGUAGUGCAGGUAGAAAAUAAAGACUAAUUUAAACUUCAAAGGCACAUUGCAGGAAUCUGUCACUUUUUUAUGAUUUCCUAAUAUCGGCUAUAAACAGCCAAACAUGAAGAAUAGUUCUUUUAUUUUAGGCAUGUACUUGUCAUGUGUCAGCCAGGGUAUGUUCUCCGGCUUCUGUUUAUUUUCAUUUCUAUGUCUUGUGUGUUUAUUUUCAGGUUUUUGUUUAUUGUAAUUAUACAUGAUUUGUUCUUAUUGACUUGUUAAAUUAACAUCCAUAACAUAAUGAGUUGCUCUCUGAUUCUUGUGCCUUGUAGGUGGAACACCAAGAGGUGGAUGAUGUCACUGCUGGAGGAACCCCACCUUUAUCUGCCGAGGCUAAAAGCAGAUCCUUCAGUGGUCCAUUGAUUUAACUCCAAUGAGAGGAAGGUGGGCCAGCUGAUCUCGUGUUUUCUUCUUCUGCAAGAGCAGCAGGAUCCAGCACUGCCAGGAAAAGCAUAUUCAUUAGGACUUCAAAGUAAAGACACUGCGAGGCCAGC